rnacentral:rRNA from 1 species
AUUGAACGCUGGCGGCAGGCCUAACACAUGCAAGUCGAACGAGCGGCGGACGGGUGAGUAAUGUCUGGGAAACUGCCUGAUGGAGGGGGGUAACUACUGGAAACGGUGGCUAAUACCGCAUACCAUCGGAUGAGCCCAAAUGGGAUUAGCUAGUUGGUGGGGUAACGGCUCACCAAGGCGACGAUCCCUCGCUGGUCUGAGAGGAUGACCAGCACCACUGGGACUGAGACACGGUCCAGACGCCGACGGGAGGCAGAAGUGGGGAAUAUUGCACAAUGGGCGCAAGUCUGAUGCAGCCAUGCCGCGUGUAUGAAGAAGGCCUUCGGGUUGUAAAGUACUUUCAGCGGGGAGGCGUUACCCGCACAAGAAGCACCGGCUAACUCCGUGCCAGCAGCCGCGGUAAUCC